rnacentral:siRNA from 1 species
AUGGGUUGAGAGAUGGGUUAUGAG